rnacentral:lncRNA from 1 species
GUCAGCCUGGCGAGGCCGGAGUAGAAUUGUGGGAGGCUGGCGCCACUGCAGGCGGAGUAAGCCUCCGCUGCGCUCCACCCUGAACUCGGAGGACCAGGGCGCAGGGAGAGCAAUUUGGUACUUUCUGGGUCCUCCAAGAAGCGGCCAGAGGAAGUGACAGGGUCACGUGUGGGAAAGGAAUGACUGAAAUGUGCGCGUAGUCACAGAAACGAAGAGAUUCCUCCUUUAAGCUGCAAGGCCGAGUGAGAAGAGAACUAAUGCUCCUAGAAACUAAGAAGGCACGCUGAAGCUUUCAAAGAUCCAAUCACAGGGGACAGUCUUCACAACCGUCAACAUCCUAGGCAGGCAUCUGGCUGCUAGCCCGUCAGUAUGGUGUUCAGGUCGUCUCCCAAAUGAACUCCGUAUCUACACAGCACCCUUUGUGUUAAGGCCAUGAUUUUGUUUUUCCUUCUCGAUAAAGCCAUGGAUGAUCGUAAAUGCUACCUCCAAACUCAUCACCCGGGCUGAGGCUUUGUCCACAGAGGAGAUCUUUCCAGCUCCAUCGGCUAGCACUUGGUCUUGAGCAGAUUUCUUCAGAUUCAACUCAGUUCAACAACAACAACAACAACAAAAAGCAACCAAAAAACCUGAGCUGGUUAGCUACAAAUGGAGAAAAUAAAGCCUCCACACAAAAAAGGAAUGUUAAGACAAAAUUCUAUUCAAGAAAUCCACCAAUACAGCAUUAAUCCUAUCAGGUUUCACAGCAUUAACUAUGCAUCCAAUGAAAUCCGUCUGCGGGAAAUCCUAACGGCUCCCACUGAUCAGGCAGAGCGGCUGUCUAAAGUCUGCACUUGUCCACACCUGUUUUGCUGAACACAGGAGAAAUAUCCUGUUUGUAACUCAGAUGUCCAUUUACCCAGUCAAGUAAAUUUCAGUAAAUCUUGCUCUUACAGGACUAUUAAGAUCAGAAACUUUCCCUUUUGGAGCCUUUAGUUCAACUCCAGUUUGUCAAUGUUAGGAAUAGUCUAGCAUCUGAUACAGAGCUAGGUUUGACAAGACACUGAAGAAUUUAAGUAAAGGCGUGGUGAAAUGGAGCAGGGAGAAAGGGAGAUUUGUAUCAAGGGUUAAAACUGAAGCCAAAGUGUCGUCUUACUGCAUAAUACAGUAACAACUGCAAACGC